GCUGGGUACAGUGGUACAUUCCUAUAAUCUCAGCUCCUUGGGAGGCUGAGGUGUGAGGAUUGCUUGAGCCCAGGGAGUUCAGGGCAGCCUGGACAAUAUAGUGAACCCCUGACUUUU
rnacentral:sRNA from 1 species